rnacentral:rRNA from 1 species
AGAGUUGAUCAUGGCUCGAGGACGAACGCUGGCGGCGUGCCUAACACAUGCAAGUCGAGCGAGGAGAUCCUCGGGAUGAUCCUAGCGGCGGACGGGUGAGUAACACGUGGGCAACCUGCCUCAUAGAGAGGAAUAGCCUUCCGAAAGGGAGAUUAAUACCUCAUAACAUUGCAGUUUCGCAUGAAACAGCAAUUAAAGGAGCAAUCCGCUAUGAGAUGGGCCCGCGGCGCAUUAGCUAGUUGGUGAGGUAACGGCUCACCAAGGCGACGAUGCGUAGCCGACCUGAGAGGGUGAUCGGCCACAUUGGGACUGAGACACGGCCCAGACUCCUACGGGAGGCAGCAGUGGGGAAUAUUGCACAAUGGGGGAAACCCUGAUGCAAGCAACGCCGCGUGAGUGAUGACGGCCUUCGGGUUGUAAAGCUCUGUCUUCAGGGACGAUAAUGACGGUACCUGAGGAGGAAGCCACGGCUAACUACGUGCCAGCAGCCGC